AGCGGAGGAAAAGAAACUAACAAGGAUUCCCCUAGUAGCGGCGAGCGAAGCGGGAAGAGCUCAAAUUUAUAAUCUGGCACCUUCGGUGUCCGAGUUGUAAUCUCUAGAAGUGUUUUCCGCGUUGGACCGCACACAAGUCUGUUGGAAUACAGCGGCACAGUGGUGAUACCCCCGUACACGGUGCGGACGCCCAGCGCUUUGUGAUACACUUUCAAUGAGUCGAGUUGUUUGGGAAUGCAGCUCAAAUUGGGUGGUAAAUUCCAUCUAAAGCUAAAUAUUGGCGAGAGACCGAUAGCGAACAAGUACCGUGAGGGAAAGAUGAAAAGCACUUUGGAAAGAGAGUUAACAGUACGUGAAAUUGUUGGAAGGGAAACGCUUGAAGUCAGACUUGCUUGCCGGAGCUUGCUUCGGUUUGCAGGCCAGCAUCAGUUUUCCGGGGUGGAUAAUGGUGGUUUGAAGGUAGCAGCCUCGGCUGUGUUAUAGCUUUCCACUGGAUACAUCCUGGGGGAGCUGAGGAACGCAGCGUGCUUUUUCGCGAAGGUUUCGUACCUUUUCACGCUUAGCGAUGCUGGUGUCAAAUGACUUUAAGCAGCUUU
rnacentral:rRNA from 1 species